GAAUUUUGAAAGAGAAUUCAACUACAAAGACCAUCAAGGUUCCAACGAAACCCCACACCUCAAUUCAGAACAUUAAUCGAAGUUAGAGCCCACCAAAACAUCAACAAAAACUGAUCUGUAGCUAGUUGGGACCCAGAUUAAGGAGACCAUUCGUAUUCACCCCUUGGUAGGUAUAUGGCAUUCGGUAGCUGUGCCCUCACCCAAGUCACUCCGCUGGUCGUUAAGAAUUUUGUAUGUGGAUUUACAAUCGAUGUAAAUUGCUAAGAUUUAGGCUACAAAUAAUAGAUGUAUAUGUGAUAUGAUGAUGCCAUUAUGAAAUGGCAAUGAAUGACAAU